GGUUGGUGGCUCAGUGGCAGAGCGCUCGCCUCGAACAUGUGAGGCCCUGGGUUCGAUCCUCAGCACCA
rnacentral:tRNA from 1 species